GGGCCCUUCGGGACUGGGAGCGUACACAGGUGCUGCAUGGCUGUCGUCAGCUCGUGUCGUGAGAGUGUUCGGGUUAAGUCCCCGCAACGAGCCGCAACCCCUGCUGCCAGUUGCCAACGGGUGGAAGCCGGGCACUCUGGAAGGACUGCCAUCGACAAGAUGGAGGAAGGUGGGGAUGACGUCAAGUCAUCAUGGCCCUUAUGGUCCAGGGCGACACACGUGCUACAAUGGCCGGCACAACGGGAAGCGAGUUCGCGAGGACGAGCGGAUCCCUCAAAGCCGGUCGCAGUUCGGAUUGAAGUCUGCAACUCGACUUCAUGAAGCUGGAAUCGCUAGUAAUCGUGGAUCAGCCAAGCCGCGGUGAAUACGUUCCCGGGCCUU
rnacentral:rRNA from 1 species